rnacentral:rRNA from 1 species
AUUGAACGCUGGCGGCAGGCCUAACACAUGCAAGUCGAACGAGUGGCGGACGGGUGAGUAAUGUCUGGGAAACUGCCCGAUGUAGGGGGAUAACUACUGGAAACGGUAGCUAAUACCGCAUACCAUCGGAUGUGCCCAGAUGGGAUUAGCUUUUAGCGGAGGUAACGGCUCACCUAGGCGACGAUCCCUAGCUGGUCUGAGAGGAUGACGAGCGACAUUGGAAAUGAGACACGGUCCAGACGCCUACGGGAGGCAGCAGUGGGUAAUAUUGAACAAGGGGCGCAAGCCUGAUGUAGUCAUGCGGCGUGGAUGAAGAAGGCCUUCGGGUUGUAAAGUACUUUCAGCGUGGAGGCGUUACCCGCAGAAGAAGCACCGGCUAACUCCGUGCCAGCAGCCGCGGUAAUUC